CAAGCAUGGCCAGGCCAGUCCAGGUAAGGCAUGGAGACGAAAGGCCAGGCAAGGUUAGGCGAGGUCAGGCAAGGUCAGAUGAGGCUAGGUGAUGCCAGACCACGCCAGGUGAGGUGCGUCCAGGCGAGACCAGAAAAGGCAAGGCGAGGGAAGGCAAGGCGAGGCAAGGCGAGGGAAGGCAAGGCGAUGCAAGGCCAGGCCAGGCCAGGCCAGGCCAGGCAAGACAAGGCCAGGCCAGGCCAGCAAGGCAAAGAAAGGCCAGGCCAGUCCAUGCCAGGCAAGGCCAGGCAAGGCAUUGGAAGUCCAGGGAAGGUUAGGCAAGGCCAGGCUAAGCUAGAAUAUGUCUGGCCAAGCCAGGCAAAAGAAGGCCAGGCAAGGCCUGGCCAGACAAAGUAAGGCCAUGCCCGGACAGGCCAGGCAAAGCAAGGCCAGGCAAGGCAGUGGCAGGCCAGGAGAGGUGGCAAGGCAAGGCUAUGCAAGCACAUGCAGGGAUAGGCAAUGUUAGGCGAGGCCAGGCCUGGCCAGACAAGGCGAGGUAAGGCAAGGCAUGGCCAGGCCAGCAAGGCAAAGCAAGGCCUGGCCAGACAAAGUAAGGCCAUGCCCGGACAGGCCAGGCAAAGCAAGGCCAGUCCACGCCAGAACAGGCAAGGCAAGGCAAGUCCAAACAAAGAUAGGCCGGGCUAGGAAAGGCCAGACCAGGCCAGGCAUGGCAAGGCCAGGCCAAAGUCCAAGCAAGGAUAGGCCGUGCUAAGACAAGCCAGGACAAAGCAAGGCAAGGCCAGGUGAGGCAGGGCAAGGCCAUGACAGGAACGUCCAGGCAAGGCCUGGCCAAACCGGGACAGAUCAGGAAAUGCCAGGCAAGGCCAGGCCAGGCCAGGUUAGGCAAGGCAAGGCAAGGCAAUGGCAGGCCAGGGGAGGUUAGGCAAAGCCAGGCUAGCCUAGGGUAGGCCAGGCCAGGCAAUACAUGGUCAGGCCAGGCCAGGCCAGACAAGGUAAGGCCAUGCCCCUACAGGCCAGGCAAGGCAAGGCCAGGUCAUACAUGGGCAGGCCAGUACACACACAGCCAGGAGAGGCCAGGUGGCGCAAGGACAGGAGAGGCCAGACCAGGCCAGGCAAGGCAAGGCCAAGCAAGGUCCGGCCAGGCUUUAGCAGACCACGCCAGGCCAGUCCAGGUCAGGCCAGGCAAUGCCAGGCAAUGCAAUGCCAGGACAGGCUAGGCCAGGCCGGUCUCAAACAGGCCAGGCAAUGCAAUGCAAUGCAAUGCAAGGCAAUGCUAGGCCAGGCCAGGCCAGGCCAGGCCAGGCCAGGCAAGGCAAGGC
ensembl:lncRNA